rnacentral:rRNA from 1 species
UACGAAGGGGACUAGCGUUGUUCGGAAUUACUGGGCGUAAAGCGCACGUAGGCGGAUUUGUUAGUCAGGGGUGAAAUCCCGGGGCUCAACCUCGGAACUGCCUUUGAUACUGCAAGUCUCGAGUCCGAUAGAGGUGGGUGGAAUUCCUAGUGUAGAGGUGAAAUUCGUAGAUAUUAGGAAGAACACCGGUGGCGAAGGCGGCCCACUGGAUCGGUACUGACGCUGAGGAGCGAAAGCUAGGGGAGCAAACGGG